GCGGCCGCCCACGAAGCUGUCCCCGCGGAGUAGGUCGGCGUGGAGGCCCCCGGGGCCGCUGGCGUAGCUGCGCCGCGGGGUUCCUGCGGGCUCCGGGCGGAAGCGGCCGGGAGGCGGCAGCGCAGGACGCGCGGCCCAGAAGCUCCGCAGCAGAAAGCAGGUCGCCAUGGCCCGGCAGUAGCGGCGACACCGGCAAGGGACAGGGCCUGCGAAUGGAAAGACUCCCAGCAAGAUGAAUUCGUGCACAUAACUCACCGUUCUCAAUGUCGGAUGCUCACCUGUCAUUUCUUUAGGCCUUAAUUGUGACGGGAGCACUUUCUGUUCCCCAGUUCCCCAGCCCCGGCAAUAUGCACUCCGUCUAAAGAAGGCACCAAAGGCCAAACUCGCGGUUUCAUAUGCUCGGGCUACUGAGCAUUGGAACUGGGGAUCACUGUUCAGUGAGGGGUGAAGUGUGGCUCAGUGAUCGGUUCCUUGCAUGCUUUUCUACAUAUCCCCUUCAUGAAUUCGGAGCACAGCGCUCCUGAGUACUGAGAUUUGGGGCAACCGUUCAAUUAGGGUCGAAGUGAGGCUUCCUCUUGCAUGCUUUCUGUGUGUGUCCUCUGUUGGUCCUGAGCAGUGGUGCUCCCAAGCCACUGCCCUUUGCUUCGUGACGUAGCUGCUGUACAUCAAGCAACUAACAGAGCUGAAGUUUAGUAACUGGAAACAAUCAUCCUAGAAGUAAUAAUAAGCCCGGUGUUGUGGCCAGCACUUGGGAGGCUCUCGGUAAGUUCAAGGCUGAGACCCUAUUUUAAAAAAGAAAUCAACAGGGGUGUGAGGAUUGAACAUAGCACUAUCACCUUAAACAAAAUCUUCAUCCUCCUGCUGCAUCUGGGCCCCAAACUCUGCAGAAGAAAGAAACCCUAAGUUUUAAUUUGAAUAAAAGAAACAGCAGGUUUGUGUUCAGAAUACGUGGAGUCAAAUGUUGUUGUUAUUAUUGAGAAAACAUGUUAUUAUGUAGCCUAGGAUGACCUACAUCUCGCAGUCUUCCUUCCUAGAGUUCUGGAAUUACAGGCGAGCACUACAUGCCCCAGUUAGAAUAUUGUAUUUGCAAAAUGCCUUGGAUGUUCUUUUAAUUGUUGGCUUUGUCUUCUGCUGAGUCAGAGCCUCCCAGUCAUGUGCCAGAUACAUCUGGCAGAAGUCUCAAUAGCAGGAUUUAAUUGUGUGUACAGGUAGGUGUGCACACAUAUGUGCUGUGUGUGUUCACUACUUUGUCCUGUAUUUUAUUAAGGGAACUGGAGCGAGAAGCGGUCAAGAUAAGGAGGGCCUCCGGUGGCUUUCUCAGCUAUCGCAAGCUGGCCGGCCUGUAUUCCUGCUGCCUGUAGGGGGCGCUCUACUCAUAGACCAUUCUAUCUUCUCUGGACAUUCCUUCAGAUCUUGUCUUAAUCACUGUAGACCCCAAACUUGAAAUCGGCUUUGUGUCUCGGGAUCC